rnacentral:rRNA from 1 species
GACGAACGCUGGCGACGUGCUUAACACAUGCAAGUCGAACGGAAAGGCCCUGCUUUUGUGGGGUGCUCGAGUGGCGAACGGGUGAGUAACACGUGAGUAACCUGCCCUUGACUUUGGGAUAACUUCAGGAAACUGGGGCUAAUACCGGAUAGGAGCUCCUGCUGCAUGGUGGGGGUUGGAAAGUUUCGGCGGUUGGGGAUGGACUCGCGGCUUAUCAGCUUGUUGGUGGGGUAGUGGCUUACCAAGGCUUUGACGGGUAGCCGGCCUGAGAGGGUGACCGGCCACAUUGGGACUGAGAUACGGCCCAGACUCCUACGGGAGGCAGCAGUGGGGAAUAUUGCACAAUGGGCGGAAGCCUGAUGCAGCAACGCCGCGUGCGGGAUGACGGCCUUCGGGUUGUAAACCGCUUUCGCCUGUGACGAAGCGUGAGUGACGGUAAUGGGUAAAGAAGCACCGGCUAACUACGUGCCAGCAGCCGCGGUGAUACGUAGGGUGCGAGCGUUGUCCGGAUUUAUUGGGCGUAAAGGGCUCGUAGGUGGUUGAUCGCGUCGGAAGUGUAGUCUUGGGGCUUAACCCUGAGCGUGCUUUCGAUACGGGUUGACUUGAGGAAGGUAGGGGAGAAUGGAAUUCCUGGUGGAGCGGUGGAAUGCGCAGAUAUCAGGAGGAACACCAGUGGCGAAGGCGGUUCUCUGGGCCUUUCCUGACGCUGAGGAGCGAAAGCGUGGGGAGCGAACAGGCUUAGAUACCCUGGUAGUCCACGCUGUAAACGGUGGGUACUAGGUGUGGGGUCCAUUCCACGGGUUCCGUGCCGUAGCUAACGCUUUAAGUACCCCGCCUGGGGAGUACGGCCGCAAGGCUAAAACUCAAAGGAAUUGACGGGGCCCCGCACAAGCGGCGGAGCAUGCGGAUUAAUUCGAUGCAACGCGUAGAACCUUACCUGGGUUUGACAUGGAUCGGGAGUGCUCAGAGAUGGGUGUGCCUCUUUUGGGGUCGGUUCACAGGUGGUGCAUGGCUGUCGUCAGCUCGUGUCGUGAGAUGUUGGGUUAAGUCCCGCAACGAGCGCAACCCUUGUUCACUGUUGCCAGCACGUUAUGGUGGGGACUCAGUGGAGACCGCCGGGGUCAACUCGGAGGAAGGUGGGGAUGACGUCAAGUCAUCAUGCCCCUUAUGUCCAGGGCUUCACGCAUGCUACAAUGGCUGGUACAGAGAGUGGCGAGCCUGUGAGGGUGAGCGAAUCUCGGAAAGCCGGUCUCAGUUCGGAUUGGGGUCUGCAACUCGACCUCAUGAAGUCGGAGUCGCUAGUAAUCGCAGAUCAGCAACGCUGCGGUGAAUACGUUCCCGGGGCU